GCCACUGCUAUUGGGGUUCGGCUAAGCCAUGCGAGUGGAGGGCGUCCCGCAAGGGAUGGCCCCGCAGACGGCUCAGUAACACGUCGUCAACCCACCUUAGGCUGGGGGACAACCUCGGGAAACUGAGGAUAAUCCCCCAUAGGCGGGGGAGGCUGGAAUGCGCCCCCGCUGAAAGCUCAGGCGCCCUAGGACGGGACGGCGGCCUAUCAGGUAGUUGGUGGUGUGACG
rnacentral:rRNA from 1 species